AGUUAAAUAGAUGGAGGGGGUUUCAAGGCUUUUUAAUAUACAGUCUAUGCUUUAAGGGACCAGCUGUCAAAUCGGCGGAACAGCCACCGUCAUCAAAGAGAUGGUCCAUCUGGUUGCAAGUUGCCAUUAAAGAAGAUUAAGUUAUAUUUCAAUAGUCGUAAAAUAUUCGAGACCUUGACGCGGAGCUGAUGAAGCUAACGUUAAAAGAUGUGAAAUCGACGAAAGUUGAAUAUAAAACCGAGAUGGUUUGUCUGUUCGUGUUCCUGUUGGCCCGUAUGUCUCCAGGAUCUUCAGAUGUUACGAGUGAAACCUGGAGAUGAUGUCAUUCUGCCAUGUCAGGCUGGUGAAGCCUCCAUCAGAGCUGUAGAGUGGACCAGACCUGACCUGGAGCCAGAGUACGUCCUCUUUUACAGAGGUCGACGCUCACUUCCAACCCACAGCAUCCAUCCUUUAAGGACCGGGUGCAGCUGGUGGACAGAGAGCUGAAGGACGGAGACGUGUCUUUAAUUCUGAAGAACGUGAGCAGCAACGACGCUGGAACAUACGAGUGCCGAGUUGCAACAGAAGGAUCAAGACGUAAGAGAGCCGCCAUUGAGACUGAGCCAAUCAGAAUCAUCCAGCUGGAGGUUUCAGGGUCCAACAGCGGAGACGUCGAGGAGGGAAACUACGGCCUUUACUACGGACUGGGAGCAGCUUUUGUUCUGGUUUGUUCAGCUGCUGUUGGAUUGGCUGUUGUCUUGAAACAUAAAAGAUCUGAACAGUCCGAAGAAAAUUAGUUUGUAUGUUUCAACGUCCCCACAAAGGUAGCAAAACAAAUCUGUGUGUGUCAGUAUCCUUUUAUACAGCCUUCUGUCAGUAUUUGUCUUUCUACAUGUGUGUGGUAUCCUGAGCCAUCUACCAAUCAAAACAAAUCUGUGUGUGUGUGCGCGCACAGUACUGUGAAGUUUAGCGAAGAGAGCACAAUACUCAGGAGGAAGUUCAGUUCAGUUAAUCUGCAAUUCAAUCCCUGGCUCCUCCAGGCUGCAUGUCGAAGUGUCCUUAGGCAAGAUACUGAAACCCAAAUUUCCCCUGGUGGCUGUUCCGCCAGUCUAUGAAUGUCAGUUUAUGUUUGAGCACUUAGGCUCAGUGUGUGAAUGGUGAAUGCGAUGUGGUGUAAAAGCACUAUGAGUGGUCGUAAAGACUAGCAAGGCUCUAUACAAAUACAGAGCAUUUACAUGAUAAACUCAGGAAAGAAAACUUUAUAUACAGCGAUUUUGCACAACUAUAAAAGCUGACUACAACUUGCUGCUGUUGCCUUUAUUUAAUCGUUACUGUUUUAUUGCUUGUUUUUGUCCUGGCUGAGGGUUUUGUCUCAAUAUGGCUCAGAAUCUGACAUUAAUUAGUAUUAUAAUUCAAUUAUAAUACUAUCAGUCAGGUGCUUUUACAAAAUGUGGAAUCAUUGGCCAAUAUGUAAAUAUGUAUUUACAUUUUGUAUGUAUGUUUUUUUUUUUUUGUACUGGGUAUGUGUUGAUUGAUUUAUUGUAAGUGAUAUCUAAAUGAAAUCAGAAUCAUAAAUGGCCUUGUGAGAUUUAUGUAGAGUAGUUUAUUAAACUAUGCAUUAAAAACAAAACUAGACCUGUGGUCAAAGCAUCAGAUGUAACUCAGCCUGUCUCACUGAGUUCACUGAUUAAGACUGUUUUUACUGUAGAAAUACACCUGAGUAUAAUUAUAAAUAUUAAAUUUUUUUACAAUUGGAAA